rnacentral:rRNA from 1 species
GUGAGGAAUAUUGGACAAUGGGCGCAAGCCUGAUCCAGCCAUGCCGCGUGCAGGAAGACGCAUCUAUGGUGUGUAAACUGCUUUUGUACGGGAAGAAACACUCCCUCGUGAGGGAGCUUGACGAUACCGUAAGAAUAAGGAUCGGCUAACUCCGUGCCAGCAGCCGCGGUAAUACGGAGGAUCCAAGCGUUAUCCGGAAUCAUUGGGUUUAAAGGGUCCGUAGGCGGUUUAAUAAGUCAGUGGUGAAAGCCCAUCGCUCAACGAUGGAACGGCCAUUGAUACUGUUAGACUUGAAUUACAAGGAAGUAACUAGAAUAUGUAGUGUAGCGGUGAAAUGCUUAGAUAUUACAUGGAAUACCAAUUGCGAAGGCAGGUUACUACUUGUGGAUUGACGCUGAUGGACGAAAGCGUGGGGAGCGAACAGGAUUAGAAACCCUAGUAGUCC